rnacentral:rRNA from 1 species
UCCUGGCUCAGAUUGAACGCUGGCGGCAGGCUUAACACAUGCAAGUCGAGCGGAGAGAGGUAGCUUGCUACUGAUCUUAGCGGCGGACGGGUGAGUAAUGCUUAGGAAUCUGCCUAUUAGUGGGGGACAACAUUUCGAAAGGAAUGCUAAUACCGCAUACGUCCUACGGGAGAAAGCAGGGGAUCUUCGGACCUUGCGCUAAUAGAUGAGCCUAAGUCGGAUUAGCUAGUUGGUGGGGUAAAGGCCUACCAAGGCGACGAUCUGUAGCGG